rnacentral:rRNA from 3 species
CGGUAGCUAAAUGCGGAAGAGAUAAGUGCUGAAAGCAUCUAAGCACGAAACUUGCCCCGAGAUGAGUUCUCCCUGACUCCUUGAGAGUCCUGAAGGAACGUUGAAGACGACGACGUUGAUAGGCCGGGUGUGUAAGCGCAGCGAUGCGUUGAGCUAACCGGUACUAAUGAACCGUGAGGCUUAACCUUACAACGCCGAAG